rnacentral:rRNA from 1 species
AUGUUUUACGAACGGGUUUUUUCCAAGCUCCCCUUGGUUCGACUUCAAAAGGGACCGACUUGCGUCUUCAACUCAACGGCGUCCAUGGUGGAGUUCCAAUUGAACGGAGUUGUGAUCGGAGUUGUGUUCCAAAACUCUUACGGCCUCAUCUGGGGAACACAGGGACUAGGACGCAUUUACUUUGAUCAAGUGUAUCAGCUGGAGGAUAAUAAAGGAUUUCAACUCAUCACGGUGACGGUGGACCAUGAGGCGGGUACAUCCCUUGCCACUGCCGAGCCUCCGUCGCCACAAAUCGCCGCUCCCGAUGACAAGCCCGUUCUGCGCCUGGAAAUAUCAGAUCAAGUGGAGACCUGCGGCUACUCGUACCUAGCAGGACACAGGUCUGGUCCUGAUGAGGGGGACAUGUUCCACAAGAUGUUAAAAUGUGCUCAAGCAGAGAAAGAUGCUGCCAUAACAACUGAUGAGCUUUCAAAGUUAUUCAAAUCAUGUCAGGUACCAAUCAUAACAACUGUUGGUUUAAUGGCUCCUUGUUGA